CCUACGGGUGGCAGCAGUGAGGAAUAUUGGUCAAUGGGCGCUAGCCUGAACCAGCCAAGUAGCGUGAAGGAUGACUGCACUCUGGGUUGUAAACUUCUUUUACAUGGGAAUAAAGUGCAGUAUGUAUACUGCUUUGCAUGUACCUUAUGAAUCAGGAUCGGCGAACUCCGUGCCAGCAGCCGCGGUAAUACGGAGGAUCCGAGCGUUAUCCGGAUUUAUUGGGUUUAAAGGGAGCGUAGGCGGGUUGGUAAGUCAGUUGUGAAAGUUGGCGGCUCAACCGUAAAAUUGCAGUUGAUACUGGAAGCCUGGAGUGCAGGAGAGGUAAGCGGAAUUCGUGGUGUAGCGGUGAAAUGCGUAGAUAUCAGGAAGAACUCCGAUUGCGAAGGCAGCCUGCUGGACUGUAACUGACGCUGAUGCUCGAAAGUGUGGGUAUCAAACAGGAUUAGAUACCCUGGUAGUC
rnacentral:rRNA from 1 species